GAUGAACGCUGGCGGCGUGCCUAAUACAUGCAAGUCGAGCGAACAGACGAGGAGCUUGCUCCUCUGACGUUAGCGGCGGACGGGUGAGUAACAUGUGGAUAACCUACCUAUCAGACUGGGAUCAUUUCGCGACACCGGAGCUAAUACCGGAUAAUAUAUUGAACCGCAUGGUUCAAUAGUGAAAGACGGUUUUGCUGUCACUUAUAGAUGGAUCCGCGCCGCGUGAGCUAGUUGGUAGGUAACGGCUUACCAAGGCAACGAUGCGUAGCCGACCUGAGAGGGUGAUCGGCCACACUGGAGCUGGGACACGGCCCAGACUCCUACGGGAGGCAGCAGAAGCGAAUCUUCCGCAAUGGGCGAAAGCCUGACGGAGCAACGGCGCGUGAGUGAUGAAGGUCUUGGGGUCGUGAAACUCUGUUAUUAGGGAAGAACAAAUGUGUAAGUAAAUAUGCACGUCUUGACGGUACCUAAUCAGAAAGCCACGGCUAACUACGUG
rnacentral:rRNA from 1 species